AGCAUGAUGUGUUGAGGACAGCUACAGUUCACUGACUCUGUGUGUUUGCAUAUGUGUCCUGCCUCUCUGCUCCCAGCCGUUAAGAGGCCAGUGUUGAUCAGUGGCUGUCCAGGCCUUUCAGAGACACAAUGAUGAUGUCACUGAUUCUACUGCUGGCCACCCUGGGGCUCCUUGUUCAGGAUUCAUCAGGAGAAAUCAUCCUGACUCAGUCUCCUGGAUCUCAGUCUGUUGAUCCAGGACAGACUGUCUCCAUCAGAUGUAAAGCCAGUUCAAGUACUGGCAAUAACUUGCAGUGGUACCUUCAAAAACCUGGAGAAGCUCCUAAACUCCUGAUUUAUUCUGCUACAGCUCGUCAGACUGGAGUUUCAGACCGUUUCAGUGGAAUUCACUCUGGGACUGACUACACUGAUUACACUUUGACCAUCAGUGGAGUUCAGACUGAAGAUGCAGGAGUUUAUUACUGUCAGCAUCAUAACGGCUUCCCGUUCACACAGUGAUACAACGUCGUACAAAAACCUCCCUCAGCUAAAGAGGAACUGAUCUGAAUGAACAGCUGCACAGAAAUAGAGAAACUUAAGCAGUUUGACUGAAAAUGAAGUCCAAAUAACAGAAUAUUGUCAGGAAAUACUCUUUAUACUGUACAAAGUUAAUAUGGUAAUUUUGUUAAAAUAGGGCAUUAAACAAUAUAUUUAAACUGAUCAAACUACAUCUAUUGUAGAUGAGUUGAAAAGUAGAUACAUUAAUACAAAUAUAAACAAUAACAGUUUGUUGAGCUGUGAAAUAAAAUAUUUCUUAUUACAUUUGCUUUAAGGUAAUUCAAAUUUUAAAUUAAUUUUAUUCAUAUUCAAGUCUUACAGUUUAGUUUACAGCAAAUGUAAAAACGUCACAUGAUUUUAAUGAGCUUGUGUUCUUAGUAAAACACAUGAGUUAUGUUAUAUUUUGAGAUCACUCUGCUGACAAUGAAACUAUAGUGAUAUAAUAAGCUGAUGAUAUCCUGCUAAAUAAUUCAAAUGCAAUAUAAAAUUCUCAGACUCUGUAGUUUAUUCAAAUUCAUUAUAGACUGGGAAAAAAAAAGUUCGGAAACUUGUGUUUGGUCGAUUAUUUCUCUGUUGUUACAAUGCUAAUUUGCAUUGUAUUUUACAUGGUUGGAAAACCUGUUUAUUUACC